rnacentral:misc_RNA from 1 species
CCAUCACUGACUAAAGUGGACCUGAUGUGAACUAGAAUGAAGUUGGCUGGACCUGCAGUGAAGUGGACCUGAAGCUAACUGGACCUCAAGUAGUCUGUGGAAGCUUCAAGGACCAACAACACAUCUCGGUACGACAAGUCGAGACUCGACCGUACAGACCCGUCCGGUCUCGCACACGACGCCGUUAACGGCAAACGGAGAAACGCCGCUGGGAGGCACUUUCUCCAACACUGCCUACAGUGGACCUGAUGUGAACUAGAAUGAAGUUGGCUGGACAUAAAGUUUACUGGACCUCAAGUAGUCUGUGAAGAAGUCGCCUCGGGCAACGGCAGCAGUCGGCAGCGGAAGCGCGAUCCGGGAGAAGGACACGAAGAACGACCGUAGAUCGUCGCUCCGGAGACGGGUCGGCGAGUGCCGCUCUCCGACGCGAGACGAUCGUCGAGAAUAACCUACGUGUUUUUCUAUUUUUAUGGAUGCUAUUUUAAGGAUAACUAAAGCUCAGUCAACGGUUAUUUUAGCUUAAGGUCAUAUUAUACGUGUAUUUGUAAUGUACAGUAUUUCAUUGAGUAAGAAUGCUAAAACUUGCCCGGCGGUCGACCCCCAAAACAACUGCGGCGACCCGCUCCGGCACUCGAGAAGACGGAAGCUCCGAGUACACGACGUUAAAGAUUAACGGAUAGUUUGACGACUAUACCACCCCUUGUUCCCUCUACCUCCAGCUAAAUGUAUCCCUCCCUCCACUUACCACUCUUCCUUUCCUCAUCUAUUAUCUUUCCCUUCCACCCCUCUAUCCCACCAUCUGUCCCCCCUCCCUUUCUUCACGUACCAUUCUUCCUUUCCUUAUCUAUUAUCCUUCCCUUCCACCCCUCUAUCCCUUCCCUCCACAUACCACCUUUCUCUCCUAGCACCUGUCGUUCCUUUUUUGUGUUUUAUUUAAUAAGUUUUAUAGUAUAUGAUGGUCACCUUAUUAAUAAUGUACCAUUUUGUGUGAUUACAAUUACACUACACACACUUAGUCGAAGUGACCAGUUAUUAGUGUUGAUAUUAAUGGGAUAAAUAUUAGAUAAGUUUAUUGGAGUUUGCUAUAAAAUAUGUGACUAUAAUUAUAAAUUGUGAGUGUGAAGAAGGGUUUAUAAGUUGUAUAUAUGUCAAUUAGAGGAACAAAUAAUUUGCUAACCACACCCUAGUCCUUCAAUGGAAAACGCAUCGAAAUGCGCAGCGGCAAAUGCAUUCGGCGGGAGAAUAAUGCGGCGACACGCGUAGAAUACUCGUACGCCACUCUCGGGCACGUACGUUUCCAUUUACUAAAGUUAGGUGGGUUUGUUUGGGUGGCGUGGGACCCAGAGGGCAUCGGCAGGCGGUCGCGUCCGGCGGUUGCCGUGCGAGAAAUUGGGAGGACGGGCUUUCACGUUGCAGAAAUUAAGGAACGGCAUCUUCCGGCGGAACCACAGCCCGCGAUUAAAGGAACGCUCGGGUUUGACGCCCACGGACCGAGCGCGCGGCUCCUCCGCCGUACAUUUCGUCGUCGGUAACAAGAGUAGUCGAUUGAAGUCCCCUCUUUUGCCUGGGUGGAUGUGUGUGUGCUAACCGUUUUAGGCAAGUGAAUGUUUGGUACAGCAGAUUUGGGGAUUCAUUGUAGGGUAGACUUGCCAUACAGUGCAGUGUUUUAAUUGGUAUUAUAUUGCGGCGAUCGGCGAGCACGGAGACCGAAGCCUCACUCGACCGUGUCUCGGGAGGCGUGGGGUUUGGUCCGAGGCCACUCGCAGUCAUCGUCGAGGGUAUAGUCCGGAACGCCGUUCGACGUGACGUCUCGUCGAAAUUCCGGAGCGGUCUUCUCGUCGCGGGGCGCGCCGGAGGUCGACGCUACGACGUUCCCGGAGGGGUCGUCGUCGUCGUCGGGUAUUUGACGUGCAUCCGGAGUAGAACGAGGGCACGCGUCGAACCGUCGAAAGUGCGCAAGAAAUGAGAUCGCGUAAAUAACUGCAGAUUAAUUUCGUCGACACUCGUACGUAUAAAAGUGCAAAGUAAAUAAAUAAUACGUAUUUUUUUUAUGGGAAUUAGCCCACCCGGGCACGGGUCACCGACCCACAUCGGGGCGAAAAUGUAAUAAUAAUAAUAAUUGUUGAAGUUACAGUGUUCAUUUUUGGUGGAUAUCAACGAAAUAUGAUGCGAGAGGCUCAGACGACGACACAAACGACGACGCUCUCUCCGGUAUAUUUUCGGGACCGUCCGUAAAAACGAAACCAAAACACGCGUGCGCAUUCAAAGUGGCGCAUUAUUGCACAAGUAAAAUAAAACAUAUUGCCAUAAAUAUGGGGUAACCUAGUUUAUAUGUAAAAAUAAUACUGAAGAACCUUAAAGAAAUACAAAAUGGAAAAAAAAAUCAAAAGUGAGGAACAAUAGAUUUAUGUUGUGUUGUCAAUAGUAAGAGAAACAAUCGAGACAGAGAGUCAGACGAGCGACCCGGGACUCGGUCACAAUUUUAGGGAUGCCACGUAGCAGGAAGAUCUACCACGGACGACACAUUACGCUUCCAAUAUUGUCUGCGGAGGUGGUAUCUCCCCGUUUGGUGGCUGCCUAAGUAUGUAAGAUUUUCCAAUGGAAAGUGUAUGUUUGGCAAAUGUAUCCAGGUCUUUAGAGAAUGUACUCAGAUAUUUGGGUUAGGUGUCAAGGGUUCAUGUAUAAUUUGCAUGCCUAAUUGACUAUGUAUAUUUUUUAACCUUAAUUUUUCAUUUGCAGUCACCCGACGGGAGUCAGAAACGUCAUUUUUGUGCGGACCGGCGACUCGACGGACCCCGGCCGAGGACGCCGCUCGAACCGCGGUUGCGGAGGAGCGCGCCGAUACGAGUCGGAGACGGCUCGUACAGUCGGCGCACGAGAGCGGUCCGGACGAAGACAUUCGGGAACCGAGGACGAAGACGCUCGUCGACUGCGGACGAAGACGCUCGUCGACUGCGGACGAAGACACCGGUCGACGCGCGAGGAAGAUGCUCCGGAACACGGGAAGAACGCCACACUCCCGAGUGCGGGAAGACACUCGUCAACGCAGAAGGAGACACGCAUCAAUGUCGGGCCGGCGCGAUUGUUUUAAAGACGAUUUAACGUGUAAAAUGAAUGUACGUGUUGUUUGUAACGAUUGUUAUAAUGUUUGUAGUAUUGUUUUUAGAGACCGACUCUGCGAAGACGGAGGAAGUCGAUACAUGUCGAGAAUGAAUUUAUUGAAGAUGUUGCCUGUGAUCACUAGGUGUUUGCACUAAUUUGGGGAGAUGAUUACGAUCGUAGAACGUCACGGAAUGCGGCGCGCACGUCAUUUGUGGCGGGACGCAUCCGUAAAUAACGGCAGCAUAAAUACGAGAGAACGCGGCGGCGGCGGCGGGGAAGUGCGCCUUUUGAAAGUAAAAGAACGGGGGAGAGCGGACCGACAUAGAUGGUGUUGUUGUGGUAACCGAUAAGAAUGGAGAAAUGAUGACUAUUUGGUGGGUUUUUUAGGACAGAGAGAGUAGUUAUAUAUUAGUGAAGAUAUAAAGUAAAAGGUGAUAAGGAUGGUGGUGGGGGGGGACAACGAAUGAUAUAUUUUGUAGGGUAUUAAAGGAAUUGACUCGUCAGUGCCGAGUCGGCGUAAUUGUGAGAAACGGAUGCGACGGGGAUUUUAAAGAAGUUGCGGGGAAAUUGGCGGAAGCGACGAUCGCAAUAACCUUUCGACGUGGGACGGACGACGACGAAUUUAGUAAAUGGCGGUUUAGGAAAGGGUCGUACGUAAAGCGGCGGGUGCGG